rnacentral:rRNA from 1 species
GUCAUCGGCGUUCGGCGAUCGAGUGACGGAGGGCGUUCGCGCUCACCGCGCCUUUCGUUGUCCGAUCCGGAGACGAACGCGUGCACUUUUCUCCUGGUAGGACGUCGCGAUCCGUCGAGUGUCGGUCUAAGGCUCGCGGUGGAGCCCGUAGAUGUCGUUUCACGACGAUAUCUGCGGACCCGCGUGUUCCCGGCCGACUCGCUCGACGGUAUACGAAAGGUUUAAGGCCGCUCCUUAGUAGAGCGUUCGACUCGCGGCAAGCGCGUCAGAUGUCGUCGGUGAUCGGACCUAGUGCCGGUCCCGACUCUGGCGACUGUUGGCCGCGAAGUUCUCGAACAGACCUUAUCGAAACCGAUCUGCGACGCUAUAGCUUUGGGUACUUUCAGGACCCGUCUUGAAACACGGACCAAGGAGUCUAGCAUGUGCGCGAGUCAUUGGGAAUUACUAAACCUAAAGGCGCAAUGAAAGUAAAAGUUCGUCUCGCACGGACCGAGGGAAGAUGGGCGGUCCUUAGUGGCCGCUCCGCAUUCCCGGGGCGUCUCGUUCUCAUCGCGAGAAGAGGCGCACCAAGAGCGUACACGCUGGGACCCGAAAGAUGGUGAACUAUGCCUGGUCAGGACGAAGUCAGGGGAAACCCUGAUGGAGGUCCGUAGCGAUUCUGACGUGCAAAUCGAUCGUCGGAACUGGGUAUAGGGGCGAAAGACUAAUCGAACCAUCUA